ensembl:lncRNA
UUCCAUCUCCAUCAUCUGGAGAAACUCAAGCACCAACAAACACGUCUGAGUAUGUUCCAGUUUAUUUCAUAACUCGUCUGCAUAUAUUAUCAACAGUUUAACAAACAGGAUUUCUUUUUUCUGUUAAAAACACAACGUAACAUUGACGGGAUGAGGUUUAACAUGUGAAACACUUAAACCACGUCUACACGGAAACUUUUGGCUUAUUGAGACCAAUUUGGCAGCGUUUGUUUUGGGGCGUCAGUAGAAGGUUGAUGGAGGGAGGCAGCUUCACGGGAGACGCACAGGCAGCAAAGACCGAGAGGACGAGGAGGACGAGGAGGACCUCCAGUACCGUUAUCAGAACACAACGUCCUCCGGGGGAGACGAGGUGUUCGAUCAAAACCAUGCAAUUACAAAUAAAAGAUAUCAAACAGAAAAAUGCGCCUACAAACGAGUGUUUAAAAGAAGACGUUUGGUUCGACUGGAAAAAGGACGCCGAGCUUCAGUUUGUGCCUCUGAAGGGAUCAGACUUCAUAUUUGAGGGUUUUUAUCAAAAGCGUUCUCCUCUCACCACGGUCCAUCUACAGAACCCUCUCAGUCCUGGUCCUGGUCCUGCCGGGGGUCCUGUCCCUCCAGCGGGUCCAGCAACACAUUGCGGGUCUCCAGAGAGGCGAAGCUCUGCUCCUGCAGGAGGAUGUUGUUCUGGAGCUGAGUCCUCCUCCCUCCAGAACCCCAACUAUGCCGAGAUGGACCCUCUACUCUGUGAUGGACUUGUGUCCUGUUGAAGGUCACAUAGAGGACCAGGACCAAAAUGAGCCUGAUUCAUAUAGUGGAUCAGGACUAAAGUGAGACUGGUUCGUAUAGUGGAUCAGGACUAAAGUGAGACUGGUUCGCAUAGUGGAUCGGGACUAAAGUGAGACUGGUUCAUAUAAAGGACCAGGACUACACUGAGCCUGGAUCAUAUAGAGGACCAGGACUAAAGUGAUACUGGUUCACAUAGAGGACCAGGACUAAAGUGAUACUGGUUCAUAUAAAGGACCAGGACUACACUGAGCCUGGAUCAUAUAGAGGCCCAGGACUAAAAUAAGACUGGUUCAUAUAGUGGAUCAGGACUAAAGUGAUACUGGUUCACAUAGAGGACCAGGACUAAAAUGAGACUGGUUCACAUAGAGGACCAGGACUAGACAGAGACAGAUCCAGGACCAGUUCAAAGUUCCUUAAUGAAAGGUAGUCCAUUGUUAAAAGGUGGAUUCCCGUAGAAGGCACAAACCGGGCCGGCGAGGAGUUCUGAGCUCUGUCUCGGUGCCUAUGUGAGGAACUUGGACAGUAAUGGAGGACGUUUGUAGGGUUUCAGGGACACGGCUGGACGUCUCUGAUCUACACAGUACAAGGAUAGCAGCUUUAAGGGUCCACAAGAACAUUUCACCACAGCAGAAAACAGGACAAUAAAACAGGAAACACUGCAAACGCUCAAAUAGAUGCCCGCGUGCGUCUCUAGAGAGAGGAACGUCUUUAAUGGUUCUAAAAGUGAUAUCGUAUUUCAGUCAGAACUAUUCUCUUGUUCUCCUUGUUACCUUGUUUUUCCUCUUUUGCCCUUUCACAUUAAAACCCUCAUGACCAGGAUCGCUUCACUUCCGUUAGAAGGCUUUUAUUGUGAAACCUGAGUCUCAUCUCACCUCUCAAUAUCUAGACGAUAUCUGAUAUUUCCAUUAUUUCCUCAUGAGUUUGUGAACAACAGCAAACGUAAAUGGACCAGAAGUACUGGAGAAAUGUUGGACUGAAGAAGAUCUGCGACUGUUCCGGCGCCGACGCUUCAUGGGGAAGGAAAUGUUUAUUUAUGUGCAUAGUAGACUGUUUGAUUUGACACACAGAUGAUGUUUCUGAAUUAAAAGGAAAAUAUCACACAUCAAGUUAGUCUCGAUCUUUCAUGUGCUGAUUCUUGUUUGAGACAACAGGCUGUUAGUUUGGCCAGUUAGCCGUAAAGUCAUCUUAACAAAGACGUUUCACCUGUAAACUGUAUAUACGAGGUGGAGGUAGCUAUAAUGGAAUCACCCAUUGGUUUGUGGACAUAAGUGACCACAAGAGACCUGUCUAUCAACGUGUAGCCCCGCCCCAAAGCUGCUUUAUGGUCUGUUUGACUCUAAACGGACCAUAAAUAAUUUACUGAAUUAAUGAACAUGUUGCGUUGAAGACAACGUGAAACUAGAGACUGAGACCAUAAACUCGUGUUUACAAUGUUUACUGAGGGAAUAAAUCAGUCAUUUCCUCAUAGACGUCUAUGGGAGCAGAGGAGUCGCCCCCUGCUGGUCACUACAGAGAAGUAGAGUCAUUUCCUCAUAGACGUCUAUGGGAGCAGAGGAGUCGCCCCCUGCUGGUCACUGCAGAGAAGUAGAGUCAUUUCCUCAUAGACGUCUAUGGGAGCAGAGGAGUCGCCCCCUGCUGGUCACUACAGAGAAGUAGAGUCAUUUCCUCAUAGACGUCUAUGGGAGCAGAGGAGUCGCCCCCUGCUGGUCACUACAGAGAAGUAGAGUCAUUUCCUCAUAGACGUCUAUGGGAGCAGAGGAGUCGCCCCCUGCUGGUCACUACAGAGAAGUAGAGUCAUUUCCUCAUAGACGUCUAUGGGAGCAGAGGAGUCGCCCCCUGCUGGUCACUACAGAGAAUGCCGCUUUAACUCGUGAAGCUUUGACUUCAUUGACAGAACCAGAUGCUUUUUUUCAUCCGUGUGCGUCGUUAGAUCUGAACUGAACUUGUUGUUCAUGCUACGAUAUUCGUAUAUUCGCUGGCCGACAUUGGAGAUGAUCAGAGCGACAGGGCGGGUUCACACGUUGCUUUUAACUCAUGGAAGCCUCUCUAGUUUUACUUGCCUCUGCUUUUCCUAGUCAGCCCUUUGAAAGGCACAAUUUCAAGAGAACCAAUAAGCUGGUCUGCGUUAUGCUGGCUGAUGCAUCAGAUAUUGACUCUUGAGCUUUGGCAAGAAGAUAUGUUCAAGACCAGAGUUGAACCGUGCAGUGAAAUGUGGUGGAAAACUCUGAUGCUAGUUGUUGUGGUUUAAAGCGGGAGAGAACGUCACCUUUCUAAAGACGGAAGACGCAGAGACGCUAUGAUUGGACGUCUACGGCUCACACGCGGCGGGUCGCUGCCAUUGGACACGAGGGCAUCGUUUGACAUUGACGUCCCUGCAUCUUCAGCCCCGAUUAACGGAGCUUCUGAGGAACGACUUGAGACUGCUUUGGUUUUCAGAUGUUGCUGUUUCGGCCCGAGAUCUAAACCACGCAUCUCGAUUCCUCACGAGACCGUUGCUUCCGUUUGAGCGUUCGCAGCGCUUCCUCUCGCACUCUGGCAAACACACACUCAGUCAUCGCUCUCAGCGCCACGCGUACUCAUGCCACUUAUAGUUGCUUGAUAUGUAGGAGGAAGUACAAAAUAACAGCAAGAAGAACAGGCCACACAAAGGUAGAGAAAUACCAAACACUUCCGAUUCCAGACCCUGAAGGAGAAGAGUAGAAGGUGGCUCGUAGAGUCCAACGGCUGAGACGAGAGGAGCCUGUGGCGUCGGCCCGGACGGAGACCCUGAAUGCAUCGUGCUGUCUUUAUACAUCUGAGAUAGACUAUGGCUUUGGCUCCGGUCCGAGCAGGAGGAGGGCGAGUCCUGGGGACACUAAAAGUAGACAAAUUCAGCGACAACCAAACGUCCUUUUCUCCCGGACGAUCCGUCGUUCAGGUUCUUCCUUCGCUCAUUGGUCUUUCAUCGUUUUAGAAAAAUAGAAAUCAGGAAAACAUCGUUACAAAAAUAAACCAAAACGUUUGUCCAAAGUCUAAAUCCACAUGACAACUUGACAUAAAUAUGGACUGAUAUUGCACAGCGAGGGAUUCUCUUCUGAUUUGAAGCAAAUCACAACCACAAUUUGUAGAAAAUGAUGAAAUAAAAUGAUCAAUAUUGCAUUUCCUGGUUAGGUUUUUUCUUUUCUUUUUUUAACUCCAGGCAGGAACAAGUGUGAGCUGGAUCCAGACCCUCCUCCAUCAGGCAGAUCAUCCAUCAGAAAACUAGAAGCUUCACAAGUAUCACUGGUGAACGUGGGUUGAAGGCACAGUGUUCCAGGAAAAGGUGGCGGAUGCUGUUUGUCGAAGGGCGGCAGCAGUUAGCGUGUUUAGCGUGUUUAGCGUGUCCCGGUGGACGGGGGUUCCCUCCAUGGCGGAUCGACUCUCCUGAUGAUCGGAGGGCAGGGCGCCAACUCUCUGUGGAGACACGAGCAAACGAAACAUAAACAACAACAAACAAACAUCAGCGUCUCAUUAUCGGUUAUUAUUAACUGUCUUGUUCUCGGUUGGCGGUUCGAGGCGGAUCGGACGCCAUCGGCUCCUCUCAGCCCCCCUUCAACAUCUUCCUCGAAGUUAAUCGCUGGCGCAGCGGCAGAUGGCGGCGGCGGCGGCGGCGGCCUCCCCGGCUCCUGUAGUUAUGAAUGCGCGCUCGGAGGCAUUAAGUUGGAUCAGUGUAAUCCCAGCGCAGCA